rnacentral:misc_RNA from 1 species
GAAAUGCUAUAAGUAGUGUGAAUUGCAGAAUUCAGUGAAUCAUCGAAUCUUUGAACGCACAUUGCGCCCCUUGGUAUUCCAUGGGGCAUGCCUGUUCGAGCGUCAUCUACACCCUCAAGCUCUGCUUGGUGUUGGGCGUCUUUGUCCCGCCUCCGCGCGCGGACUCGCCCCAAAUUCAUUGGCAGCGGUCCUUGCCUCCUCUCGCGCAGCACAUUGCGCUUCUCGAGGUGUUGCGGCCCGCGUCCAGAAAGCAAUCGUUACCGUCUUUGACCUCGGAUCAGGUAGGGAUACCCGCUGAACUUAAGU